ACAAGCGGUGGAUGAUGUGGAUUAAUCGAUGCAACGCGAAAACCUUACUACCCUUGACAUGUCUGGAACCUUGCUGAGAGGCGAGGGUGCCUUCGGGAGCCAGAACACAGGUGCUGCAUGGCUGUCGUCAGCUCGUGUCGUGAGAUGUUGGGUUAAGUCCCGCAACGAGCGCAACCCUUGUCAUUAGUUGCCAUCAUUUAGUUGGGCACUCUAAUGAGACUGCCGGUGACAAACCGGAGGAAGGUGGGGAUGACGUCAAGUCCUCAUGGCCCUUAUGGGUAGGGCUUCACACGUCAUACAAUGGUCGGUACAGAGGGUUGCCAAGCCGCGAGGUGGAGCCAAUCCCUUAAAGCCGAUCGUAGUCCGGAUCGUAGUCUGCAACUCGACUACGUGAAGUCGGAAUCGCUAGUAAUCGCAGAUCAGAAUGUCGCGGUGAAUACGUUCCCGGGUCUU
rnacentral:rRNA from 1 species